rnacentral:misc_RNA from 1 species
CUGAGGAAGUAAAAGUCGUAACAAGGUUUCCGUAGGUGAACCUGCGGAAGGAUCAUUAGAGUAUUCUUUGAGGGCCAGCGCUGUGCAAGCGCGGUUUUCUAAAACCUUUACACACUGUGAAUUUUUUCUUUGCAUUGCUUUGGCUGGCGCGCCCCUUCUCUUGGGCUCAGCCGGAGGUUUUUUUUCUAAACACGAGAUUUUUAUCUUUGUAUAAAACUGAGUCAAAUAGUUUAUAAUCUUCAAAACUUUCAACAACGGAUCUCUUGGUUCUCGCAACGAUGAAGAACGCAGCGAAAUGCGAUACGUAAUGUGAAUUGCAGGUUUUCGUGAAUCAUCGAAUCUUUGAACGCAUAUUGCGCUCUCUGGCAUUCCAGAGAGCAUGCCUGUUUGAGCGUCAUUUCUCUCUCAAACCUCUCUUGGGUUUGGUAUUGAGUGAUACUCUGUCUAGCAGGGUUAACUUGAAAUAACUUUUUUAGGCAAGAGCGUGUCGGCAGACUUUUUCUCCUGGACUGAAAUAAUGUAUUAGGUUCUACCAACUCGUUAUUUACCUCCGGGCAGAGAUCUGCAGGCAGCUAGGCUCGGCCUAACAACCUCUCUACAAGUUUGACCUCAAAUCAGGUAGGACUACCCGCUGAACUUAAGCAUAUCA